UACGUAGGUGACCAGCGUUGUCCGGAUUUACUGGGCGUAAAGAGCGCGCAGGCGGUCGAUCAAGUCGCGUGUGAAAGCCCCCGGCUCAACUGGGGAGGGUCACGCGAUACUGAUCGACUCGAAGGCAGGAGAGGGUAGUGGAAUUCCCGGUGUAGUGGUGAAAUGCGUAGAUAUCGGGAGGAACACCAGUGGCGAAGGCGACUACCUGGCCUGUUUCUUGACGCUGAGGCGCGAAAGCUAGGGGAGCAAACGGG
rnacentral:rRNA from 1 species